GGUUCGAAUACCACAAGCCCUUUCCCACGGAGCCGGAAGUUGGAGAGCGGGGAGCCGAGGUCCCUGAGCGGCGCCUACGCUUCCUUCUAGAAUUCAUUCCUUGCCUGAGUGCUUUCUUCCCUUCAUUCUCAUACGUUUGAAAUUUUCUUUGAUAUCCCGGAAUCCAGCUCCAGCAGCCAGGAAAUCAGCCUGAAGAGAUGAGCGGUGUCGGUGGAGAAUGAUGCAGCCUCUGACUCAAGACCUCUGAAGACUCGUGUUGCCUGAGGAAGCCCUGAAGUUAAGGAAGAGGAAAGAAAAGGAUCGAGACAUGGCUAUUUCUCAGGAACGAUUGACCUCUGAGGAUGUGGCCAUCGAAUUCACUCCGGAGGAGUGGGAAUUCCUGGAUCCUGCUCAGAGGGCCUUGUACAGGGACGUGAUGCUGGAGACCUAUAGGAACCUUCUGUCUGUGGGUGAGGAUGACUUCCUUCCAGAGGUGCCCUUGGGUAUCUGCAUUUUCCCUGUGUGCCCCUUGGGAGGCCUGAUGUCUUUCAUGUGAGAGUUCUGGUGACUGGGGCAUGACACAGCUUCACAAGGUUAGACUGACCCUCUUCAGAUUCUGUGUCUAUUUCAUGUCAUAUCUGAGGUUGUCCCAGAGCUUAAUUAUCUACAAAGCUCACUGGCAAAUGUUAAAAAAAAAUACCAAAAAACCCAAUUUCCUAUUUUCUGCCUUUUGACUUUUGCUCAGUGUUUAAAAAAAUCCAGAGCACUUUAGAUUUCUUUCUUCUGAUAACACUGAAUAUCUACUUGUUUGUUUUUGCUUGCUUGUUUACUAUUUUUGGCUGUGCCAUUCCAUAUGUAGGAUCUUAGUUCCCUGACUAAGGAUCAGACCUGUACCCCCUGCAUUGGAAAUGCAGAGUCUUAACCACUGGAUCACCAGGGAAGUCCCAGAAUUUCUGUUUCUGAUCUGAAUAUUAUUUCCACAUUGGAGCAUGAGGAAAAGCUCUGGACAGUGGGUGCUAGCGACGGAAUGAAACACCAACACUGCAGGGUGGUUUGAAUCUUUCUAUUUUUUCCUCCCGCUUCUCGCAGCUGCUUUACUUUAUAUCUUUUGCACAACAAUCUACAGGGCAAGUUGCCAGGCACUAUGAUUCAGCGACUAUACAGUGCACAGGCAUGGGGCGAGAUAACCUGUUCUUUAACUUAUUUACUGCAGCUAAGACUUUGUUUUGAGAACUUCCUUAUCAGCUGAGAAACCAUUUUGUCCCUGGGUCUGUUCCUUUUGAGGAAUCAGAGAAACAUCCUUGUGUGCAAGAAAUGUUCUUUUCCCAUGGGAACAGAGGAUUCUGGGUAGAACAUCUCGUUUGCAAGAAUGUUCAGCCCUGGUUGAGAGUCUCAUUUGCAAGCACUUCCCAACCUUCCUUAUGCCUUGUUCCCUACAUCUCCCCCUUUCUUUUCUUGUAGGUGCUGAAUAAGCACUUGAAUAUGUAAAGCUUUUUCUUUUAAUUGUUUCCCUUUUCCUUAGCGCCAGUUGACUAUAAAAGCAAUAAAACAUAAAGCAACAAUUAACAAAGUAUUCACAAAGGAUGUUGUUAACAAUGUAGAUACGUGCCCUAAAGGACUGAGGUUAUCUAAUCCUUCUUGAAGACUCUUUAGUAUAUCAGAACCAAGAAUAUCAGGCAGCGUCUUAGUAAAAGUUGACAAUAUAGUUUGUUCCAAUUCCAUAAUUUCAGCAGUUAAAUUCUGGUGUCCCAUCAAAGACCUUUUCACCUUUUCCCAACCCUCACUCAUAUUAAAGGGAAUGGGGUUACGCAUAAGUGAGAUGAGUUCCAGUCACAUUUUAACACACUCCUUGUAGCUAACACAGUCACUUGAUCUCCUAACCAGGAAACAGUGUGUUGUAAAUUUAAUACAUCAGUAGCCAAUUGAGCGUCCAAAUCAUGCUGUUGUUGCCACAAUAAAUGAGCAUCUUUAUGCCACUCCCUGACAAAAUCAGCAGUCUGUAUUCCCUGAUGCAAAGCAAGACCUGCUACAGUUGCUGUUGCUGUUACUGAAGCCACGGCAAGAAUUGAUGCGAUGACGAUGCCAAGCAUUCUUCGAGAUCAAUGGAGAAGAGUUUGUACAGCAUUCACAAGAGGAGCGACAGCAAAAGAGUCCGACCAAGGCCGAGUAAGAUUAACAGGCAACCAGAGUCAGUCUGUGCUUUCACAGUGACCGAAGAGUGAUUACUGGAAUGGACCAUCUUGUCUUCAACAUUUUCCCACCAGGAACGGUUUAUACAUUGAGUCAAGUUACAAUCAGAA